UACGUAGGGGGCAAGCGUUGUCCGGAUUUACUGGGCGUAAAGCGCGUGUAGGCGGUUGAGUUAGUCUGCUGUGAAAUCUCCGGGCUUAACCUGGAGGGGUCGGUGGAAACUGCUCGACUUGAGGACGGUAGAGGGGGUGGAAUUCCCGGUGUAGUGGUGAAAUGCGUAGAGAUCGGGAGGAACACCAGCGGCGAAGGCGGCCCCCUGGGCCGCUCCUGACGCUGAUACGCGAAGGCCAGGGUAGCGAACGGG
rnacentral:rRNA from 1 species